GAGCGGAAGAGGAGACGCAGUUUGGCGGCUGUGGGGAUUUGCCGGAAGGUUAAUAAUGUCCAUGGGCACAUCGGCCUCCUCCUUUCUUAUUCUCUCCCAAGUGUAAUUCCAGGACGCCCCCUGAGCGCAGAUUCAUCCAGGCAUUUGGCCUAGAGGCCCGCGGAGGAGAAAUAAAGUACAGGCCUGGUAGGACCUUUGAGAACCUGGGCUUCAGCUACAAAACCAGAGCCCCAGUCCUUCAUCUGCUGUCUCCUCAAGCUCUUUUCAGUGUAUUGUGGAGUUCAUUACCACUCUAAGCUCGCACGGAAGUGUACACCAGCUUCGUGAUCUUAAAAGCAAAACAAAAUCAAAUGGACUAGGAAUUAACUUGAAGCAGAGUUGUGACACUUAAGUGGUUUCUUGCCAUCAGUUUCCACGCACUGCUUUAAGAUGCAAUUUUACAAGGUACCACAUGAUGGAAGUCAGUCCAAUCUUUCCUAUCCUGUUUCAUCCACCACCACAAAAUACCUAAGUGACAGCUAUGGGACUAUCUACAGGCAAUACAUACAAGCUGUUGACAAGUUUUUGCAUGGAAAAUGAAGAAGCUGAGACCAUUCACUGCUGUUUCUAAUAGACUUCUCAGAAAGAAUAAGAGAAUAGUAAUCAAAUUGUGGUCAAAGCCAUCUAACAGAGGAUAACAGACCCAGGAAUCAGUUAAAUUCAAGGACUUGAAACAGUUUGCAAAAGCUGCAGCAGGGCAUUUUCCUUUGUGAGGGAAAGCUCCAGGAUCAGUUCUAAAAGACAAAAGAAUAUUAAUACUAAUGUCCCUUUAUCCCCCAGUGCCUUUCCAAGUGCUUAGGUCUCAGUCUCUCUCUCUCUGUCUCUCUCUCUCUAACACUGCCACAAAAUUAAUGUGUCCCAUUCUAGUAACUAUAACCUCUUUCCAAUCAUGCUUCUAAUCUCACCUAAAAUUUUCAUCUGGAACAGUCAGUCAAGAGCAAGAGUGACAAGGGAAUUUUUAUAAAACAUAUAAAAACCCAUUAUGUCCCUCACUUGUGGCUUUUAUGGGUCAGUGUCAGGGGACUAGGUGGAGAGUAUCAACCCAAAGCAGGAUAGUAAGGGCCUGAAUACUAGACAUUGCUUCAUCUCUGGUUUCCCGUGGCAGGUUCUCUGUCUCAGGAAUCUCUUACUGAGAGGGCCAGGUACACUUACAGCAGCCAGCGCCUACUCCAAGAAAACUCGUACUGUCAUCUUCAAAAAGAUCUAAUAUUGGCCUGAUAGAAUUCAGGAGGAGUUGAGCUAUAAGAGGUUGCCAUUGCUGUUGCCAUUCCUCCUUAACAAACAUUGUGCACCUCUCUCCCUCAUCUCCCAAGCUAACAAGCCAAAGUUCUUAAGAUUUGCAAAAUUUCUGUCCAUAGCAGUCCCAAAUCCUCUCCUUUUGCAUUUAGAGGUGCAUAUCUCCGUAACUAUUUUCUGAAAAGGAUCAGAACCUUACUCUAACCCAGAAUGGAUCUUAGUUCUCGUUGUUACAAUGGGAUGGGAGUGACACUGACCAUCAGAUCGACCCUCCUGCCCCCACCUCAAUGAACCUAUUUUCCAGUACUCAGCCUGCAGCCAUCUCCCUAGUUCCUCCUUGGUAGCAGAGAAUGAAAGAGGGGAGGAUCACUUAUUGCUUGAUUGACUAGACAGUUUGAAUAAUAUGGCUGCUACUAAAUCCUACAGACUUCCCUCAAAUUAUCACUGAACUAUUGGAAGGCUCUUGUCUUUCUUAUUCCAGAAAGCCAUGUCUUGUCAGUAUUCCAUCUUUAUUACCAAAAAUGGUAAGAAUAGUAAGAGUCUGUAAUUUUACCUUGCUAGAAAACAAGUUAGCAUGGCACAAAUUCAUAGACACUGGCAGGAGAUAUGAGAUUCCUGGGCCAGGGAUAAAGAACAAUUUAUUAAUCAGAGCAAUAGCAGUAAUCAGAGUAACAACAUUUGUGCUAGUUCUUCAAGCCCUGAUUCCCACAGAGCACACUCAGUGAGUUGCAUUACCCAAGAGCAACCCUAUUUAGGAAACCCCAAUAUUUUCUAAAACCCUUGCUAGAAAACCUUUUCAACCUUUUUCCAGUGGAAGACAUUGUCUUUAUUAUCAUGAACAGCCAACAAACCUGCCUUCUUCCCCAAAGGGAGACACUAUAUUUUCCAAAGCUGUUUGCUAUACAGACAUUCUUGAAAAGACAGUCUAGAAAAAAGCUACGAAUACAAUUGCUCAGAAGAUAUGCAAAAACAGAAGAUCUAUGGAGAAUUAUCUCCCAACACCUCCAUAAAUAUAUUCACACAUAGACCCAAAUGUAAAACCUAAAUCUAUAAAGGUUCUAGAACAAAAUAUAGGAGUAACUUGAGUUACCUUAACAACCAACAAGGUCAGGGGUGGUCCAGAAAGCUUGACCCACAGGGACAGAGACAGGACUUUGGUGAGGCAAGCAGGGCAUCUCCUAUGAAAAAUCUAAGCACUCACUGUUAGGUGCUGAGCCUGCACUUGCAAAACCUGAGAGUGAGCACCUCCUUAAAUUUUUUAUUUUCCUAGUUGGGCUUGCCAUAAUCUCCACACUGCAUCCUUUUCCUUCACUGACACAAAAUCACAGAGAAUGGCAGCUUGUUUUGCUCAAAGCAGCAGUACAGCUUACUUACAUCACAACCUGGACCUGCUACAUUUUCUGUCCUAAGCCCCAUUCAAACCUGGCAGCAUUCCAUGUCACAUUUUAUCUGCUGGAUUAGCAUUUGGAGAUACAGAAUGUAUUGCUUCCACAACCCAAAGAGACCCAUGACAUUAUACUUCCUUCUUUGUAGUAGGACAUGGAUUCUUACUAGGAAUAAUAUCACCCCCAAGGGGGCAAAAAUUGGUAUUUAAUGGUUUAUGUGGUCCUGUAGUCUUCCAAAGGUCACACUACCUAAACAAAUAUACAGUACAUCUGUGCUAUCAAUAUUUCAUGAUGGAGAGGUAAUUAGGGGUAAAAUGUCUAAAAAACUUCCUUACCAGGGCAUUAACAACAAAAAGGUUGAGAAACACUGUAGCAGGAGAAGAUGCAACAACAACCAAAAAAGACAUUUUUUAAAGAGGAUGUCUCUACAUGCCUUUGAUCGUCAGAUCUCUGAAGUAUUUACUGAAGAGGUCUUCCUAUUCCCUGAGACACAACAAUAUUGAAAUAGGGCCAAUUAAUAACCCUACAAUGGUCUGUAAUUGUGCAAGUGGAAGAAAGAAUCGUGUGCCUCUCGCUUUAAAUCAAAAGCUAGAAAUGAUUAAGCUGACUGAGGAAGGCAUGUUUGAAGCUGAAACAGACUGAAAGCAAGUCCUCUUGCACCAAAAGGCCAAGUUGUUAAAGCAAAGGAAAAAUUAUUGAAGUAAAUUAAGUGCUACUCUAGUAAACACAAUUGAUAAGAAAGCAAAACAGCCUUAUUGCUGGUACAGAGAAAGUUUGAGUCGUUUGGGUAGAAGAUCAAACCAGCCACAACAUUCCCUUAAGCAAAAGCCUAAUCCAGAGGGCCCUAACUCUCUUCAAUUCUAUGAAGACUAAGAGAGGUGAGAAAGCUGCAGAAGAAAAGUUGGAAGCUAGUAGAGUUUGGUUCAUGAGGUUUAAGGAAAAAAGCCAUCGCUAUAACGUAACAGGUCAAGAAGGAAGUGUUGAUGUAGAAGCUACAGCAAGUUAUCUGAAAGAUCUAGGUAAGAACUGAUGAAGGCAAUUACAUAAAACAGAGGCUUUUCUUUUCUUUUUCUUUUUUACUUUCUUUUUUUCUUUUGAGACAGGGUCUUGCUCUGUCACCCAGGUUGGAGUACAGUGGUGUGAUUAUAGUACAAUUGCAGCCUUGAACUCCCAGACUCAAGUGACCCCACUGCCUCAUCCUCACAAGUAGGUGGGACUACAGGUACAUGCCACCAUGACUGGUGAAUUUUUCUUUUUUUUAUUUUUAAUAGAGACAAGAUCUCACUAUGUUGCCCAGGCUGGUCUCAAACUCCUAGGCUCAUGCAAUCCUCCAGCCUCAGCCUCCCAAAGUGCAACAAAUACAGGUGUGAGCCACCAUGGUCAGCCAACAAUAGCUUUCCAGUAUAAACUAAACAGUCUUCUAUUGAAAGAAAAUGCCAUCUGGGACUUUCAUAGCUAGAGAGUAGAAGUCAAUGCCUGGCUUCAAAGACUCAAAGCACAGACUGACUUUUCCGUUAGGGGCUCAUGCAGCUGGUACUUUAAGUUGAAGCCAUUGCUCACGUACCAUUCUGAAAAUGUUACGACACUUAAGAAUUAUUCUAAAUGUAUUCUGCCUAUGCUCCAAAAAUAGAACAACAAAUUCUAGAUGACAGCAUUUCUGUUUGUAAUAUACCUCACUGAAUAUUUUAAGCCCACUGUUGAGACCUACUGCUCAGAAAAAAAAAGAUUUCUUUCAAAAUAUUACUGCUAUUGACAAUGUACCUGGUCACCCAAGAGCUCUGGUGAGAUAUACAAGGAGAUUAAUAUUUUUAUGCCUGCUAACGCAGCAUCCAUUCUUCAGCCCAUGGAACAAAUAGUCAUUUUGACUUUUAAGUCCUAUUAUUUAAGAAACACAUUUUGGGCCAGGCGCAGUGGCUCACGCCUAUAAUCCCACCACUUUUGGAGGCCAAGGCAGGCAGAUCACCUGAGGUCGGGAGUUCAAGACCAGCCUGACCAACAUGGAGAAACCCUGUCUCUACUAAAAAUACAAAAUUAGCCAGGCAUGGUGGCACAUGCCUGUAAUCCCAGCUACUUGGGAGGCUGAGGCAGGAGAAUUGCUUGAACCUGGGAGGUGAGGUUGCAGUGAGCCAAGAUCACACCAUUGCACUCCAGCCUGGGCAGCAAGAGUGAAACUGUGAAACUCCAUCUCAA
rnacentral:lncRNA from 10 species